UACGUAGGGUGCGAGCGUUAAUCGGAAUUACUGGGCGUAAAGGGUGCGUAGGCGGCUAUCCAAGUCAGACGUGAAAGGCCUGGGCUCAACCCGGGAACUGCGUUUGAGACUGGGUGGCUGGAGUCCGGGAGAGGUGAGCGGAAUUCCCAGUGUAGAGGUGAAAUUCGUAGAUAUUGGGAAGAACACCGGUGGCGAAGGCGGCUCACUGGACCGGUACUGACGCUGAGGCACGAAAGCGUGGGGAGCAAACAGG
rnacentral:rRNA from 1 species